UGAAAGGAUAGGGAAAUGGACAAGAAAAAUAAACUCAACUCGUGCACUUUUCCAAAUGAAGGCAUAAACAUUUCCUUCUCAUCGAUUGCGACCUCGUAUUUGCUGCUUGACCAAGCACAAGCACAUGGCUACUACUAGAUAAUACUGAUCAACAAAAAAAAAAGAAAAAAAGAAAAUAGACGAAUAAGAAGAGGAAGAGAAAGAGGAAGAGGAAGAAGAGAAGUUAUAGAAUCUUUGGAUGAACAUAAUCGAAAAAAAUAGAGAGUAGAGAGAAGAGGGGUCGUGUCGUUUAAGAAGAGUAACUAGGAAAAGUCGAAGCUCAUGGGCGUGACAAUUGGCCGGAUGUGUUUGCCAUUGUUAAAAUUGUGCGGUCCUGUCCUGUGGCAUGCUACUUCUUCUAUUGCUAUAAACCUUCGAUCGAUUUCGAAGAAAACGGCUGGAAAACUUGUACAUUGUUGGAUUUGACGUUAAAGGGACUUGUCGGUUUGCUAAAUACCUACCGAUAACUUUUCUUUGUUGGAUCAGUUUGAAAAGGAUAAAAAUCCGUGAAUAAACAGUAAACGAUUGGAUAGUUGCCAGGAGGAAUCUUCAGUAGAAGUACUCACUUCGCGGGAAAGGCUCUCGUUGCGUUCACUUACCUUCAGGAGGGAAAUCUUUGGUGGUUCUGAAAGUAGGGGGGUAGAUUUCACCCCCUUCCAAUCCCUCUCCUCUCUCCCUCCCUGCUACUGGUAGCAGCGUUAUCGACCACUGUCGCAAAAGCCACGCCUUUGCCCAGAUAUUACUCUAGUAUGCAAGCAAAAAUUGAAAAAGAACUUACAAGAAUUGAAUAAAAGUUUAUCGAGAGAGAAAAAUUCAGAAGCAUCGUGUAGAUAAACAAUUUCAAGAGUGAAGAAGAGGGAAGGAGAAAGAAGAAACGGAGCAAAAGAUCAAUUAUGUGAAAUCAAAAUUUUUGGGAUCGUAUAUAAUAAUAAUAUGGAAGAUAGAAAGAGAUGGUAAGGAAGGUUCUCUUCCGUUUUAUACGUAAGGUCCACCCCACGGAAAUCAGGCAAUAAAGCAGUCCGGAACACGGUCUUGCCCUUUCAACCCCCGUCCACUUCUC